rnacentral:rRNA from 1 species
UAACCUGCCCAAGAGAUCGGGAUAACACCUGGAAACAGAUGCUAAUACCGGAUAACAACAGAUGAUGCCUAUCAACUGUUUAAAAGAUGGUUCUGCUAUCACUCUUGGAUGGACCUGCGGUGCAUUAGCUAGUUUGUAGGGUAACGGCCUACCAAGGCGAUGAUGCAUAGCCGAGUUUAGAGACUGAUCGGCCACAUUGGGACUGAGACACGGCCCAAACUCCUACGGGAGGCAGCAGCC